rfam:Paramecium caudatum telomerase RNA gene, complete sequence.
UGACAAUUGCUGUAUUCAUUCUCCUUUCUCGAUAGGAAUUGGAGUCAUACAACCCCAGAAACCAUCCUUAUACCUUGAGUAUGCUGAAUUCCGUUAGCGUAGCUCUUGGCUAUUCUCAUAGUGAUUGCAUAUUUGGAGUUACUUAUUCGUCAAUUCAAUUAAAAUUCAUGACGAACCUAAAAGUACUCUGAAUGGUUAUUUUUUAUAAUU